rnacentral:rRNA from 1 species
UACGGAAGGCAGCAGUGGGGAAUAUUGCACAAUGGGCGAAAGCCUGAUGCAGCUAUGCCGCGUGUAUGAAGAAGGCCUUAGGGUUGUAAAGUACUUUCAUCGGGGAGGAAAAACAAAACUAAUAAUUUUAUUUCUUGACGUUACCCGAAAAAGAAGCACCGGCUAACUCCGUGCCAGCAGCCGCGGUAAUACGGAGGGUGCUAGCGUUAAUCAGAAUUACUGGGCGUAAAGAGCACGUAGGUGGUUUUUUUAAGUCAGAUGUGAAAUCCCUGGGCUUAACCUAGGAACUGCAUUUUGAAACUGAAAUACUAGAGUAUCGUAGAGGGAGGUAGAAUUCUAGGUGUAGCGGUGAAAUGCGUAGAUAUCUGGAGGAAUACCUGUGGCGAAAGCGGCCUCCUAAACGAAUACUGACACUGAGGGUGCGAAAGCGUGGGGAGCAAACGAGGGAUUAGAUACC